CAGCCGCCGCGGUAAUACGUAGGUGGCAAGCGUUGUCCGGACUUAUUGGGCGUAAAGCGCGCGCAGGCGGUUCCUUAAGUCUGAUGUGAAAUCUCGCGGCUCAACCGCGAGCGGCCAUUGGAAACUGGGGAACUUGAGUGCAGGAGAGGGGAGCGGAAUUCCACGUGUAGCGGUGAAAUGCGUAGAGAUGUGGAGGAACACCAGUGGCGAAGGCGGCUCUCUGGCCUGUAACUGACGCUGAGGCGCGAAAGCGUGGGGAGCGAACAGGAUUAGAUACCCUGGUAGUCCACGCCGUAAACGAUGAGUGCUAAGUGUUAGAGGGUAUCCACCCUUUAGUGCUGCAGCAAACGCAUUAAGCACUCCGCCUGGGGAGUACGGCCGCAAGGCUGAAACUUAAAGGAAUUGGCGGG
rnacentral:rRNA from 1 species